rnacentral:lncRNA from 1 species
GCAGCAUAUGGAGGUUCCCAGGCUAGGGGUCAAAUCGGAGCUGUAGCUGCGAGUCUACACCACAGCCUCAGCAACACCAGAUCUGAGCCACAUCUGCGACCUAGGCCACAGCUCACGGCAAUGCCAGAUCCUUAACCCAGUGAACGAGGCCAGAGAUUGAACCCGAAUCCUCAGGGAUACUAGUCAGGUUCUUAACCUGCUGAGCCACAACAGGAACUCAUGAUAUACCUACUUUUGACUGUAUCAUUUGAAACUGACCGCUCUCACCCCCAUCAGCCCCUGUCUUUGGGUAAUUAUGUCAACACCUCCAAACUGGUCAUAUUUUUCCCAAAGAGGCAACGCAACCGCACGAGGGACAGUGUCCCUGUGACCACACUUCUGCAUUUCCUUCUUUCCUCUGUCUCAGGCCAGCUGCUUUCUAUUUUCCCCCCAAACAUUAAAUGCUACUUGAUUAAAGCCAAAAAGAGAAGCUUCUGCCUCAAAAGCUGAGAUAAAAAGUAAACAAAGCCAACUAAAGAAAAAUACCAAAACGCUUUUCAAAGUGCUGCAUUUCCCCUGGACUGUUCAUUUAUCUCUUGUGCAAUGACAUUUUCACUUUCCCUUACUUGAUCUGACUUCUAACCAAGUUCAUUCUGAAAUUACAGGAAGCUAAGCCUUUGAAAUUUUUAUCUGCAGCUUUCAGGAUCCACGGGGACAAAUGGCAACGUGGUCGACCGUGACGGGGCCACAGCUCAAGCCCGCGGAAGCUGGCCAGCUCGAUGCCUUGGGCGGCAUGCCUCAGCCCCUGUGCUGGGUCAGUACUUUACACCAUCUGGCUUGCUGCCCCAGGAUAUAUGAUUUACUAAACCUGCUGCGAUCCCAUGUGUGACUCUUCCCAAGGAAUUAAAGACAAAAGACAUGGCUCUCCCUAAACCCAUCCAUCUCAGACAUUUUGAUACCUGUGAUGCCACCUGAGGAGUCACACAACAUCCCCAAGGGCUACAAAGCCUCUCUUCUGUUAAAAAGAAAAAAGCAAAACAAAAUAACAACCUGUCCUCUUGCAGGUACCAUCACCACUAAAUAAUUCUGCAAUUCCUUCUGCUUUUCUUGCUUUUCUAUGAAUUCAUACAUUUGGGGAAGUAUGAAUUGUUUGAAUAGCUCUGGGUGAACAGUGACUUGCCCAUAACCUAGUGUAUGUGGCACCAGCCCACACCAGCCAGCACGAAAGAGUUCGCCUGUGUUCCAGCUCCCGUCUGUCUGCCUGAGCUCACUGAAACAUCUCCCAACACCUCUGAAGGUUCCAAAUCCCAGUCUUGUUACAGCUGAAUCGUACCUCCCAGAAAGAUACGUUCCUGUACCUACGAAUGUGAGUGUGACCUGACUUAAAAGGUCACCUGUGAAUAUGACCUUAUUUGGAAACAGGGGCUUUUGAAAAUGUGAUCAAAUUAAGGGGAAGUCAUUAAGGUAAGCCCUAACCCCAUAAGAUAGGUGUCCUCGUAAGAACACAAGGCCCACGUAUAUAUAUGUAUAACUGGGUCAUGUUGCUGUACAGUAGAAAUUGACAGAACAUUGUAAAUCCACUAUAAUAAUGUUUUUAAAUAAAAAAAUUUUUUUAAUUAAAAAAAAAAAAAAAAGAGGAAAAGGCCCUGUGAAAACAGAGAUUGACACUGGAGACGGAAGGCCAAUAUCAGAAGCUAGGAAGAGGCAAGACAGGAUUCUAUCUCAGAGGGAGGAUGGCCCUGCUGUCACCUUGAUUUUGGACUUUUAACCACCCUGAACUGUGAGGAUAAAUUUAUGUUGUUUUAAGCCACUCAUGGCUAUGGCAGCCCAAGGAAACUAAUCACACUAUGAUGUGUAUAUUAAGUAGAGCACCAGCAAGGCUUCUGCAAUACCCGGUCUUUUCCAAGACCCUGGACAGCCAAAUCAGAGUAGUCACAAUCUGGUAUCCUUCACUAGAUAUGCUCAACUCUCAGUUUGUUAUGAUGAGAUGAAAUACAGAAAAAAAAAAAAAAAAAUCAGUCCAGGAGUAUCCAUCACGUCUCAUGGCUCAGUGGUAAGGAACCGACAAGUAUCCAUGAGUAUGUGGGUUCGAUCCCUGGCCUCGCUCAGCAGGUUAAGGAUCUGGUGUUGCCAUGAGCUGUGGUGUAGGUCACAGACACGGUUCAGAUCCCAUGUUGCUGUGGCUGUGGUAUAGGCUGGUGGCUAAAGUUCUGAUUCGACCCCUAGUCUGGGAACUUCCAUAUUGCCUCAAAUUCGGCAAUAACCAAAAAAAACAAAACAAAACAAAAACAAACCCCACCCCCAAAAAAGUUAAUCCAUUGGCAUUUGAAAAAAUUAUUUUGUAUUUCUAUUUCAUGGGCAUUCUAGAAAUUCCAUAUGCUGCACACGCAGCCCUAAAAAGACAAAAAAAAUUUUUCAAAAGGCCUUCUAUUCCAAUUGAGUUACAGUAAACAAAGGUCCUAUUUAUGUCAACGAAGCACUUAAGCAGAGAAGGUGACAAUGUCAGCAAGUCUUCCUAUGCUUAAUAUGCACAAUCUCUAACCAAGAGUUGGCCAUUACUGGAGUGGAUUCCCAGUGAUCACAAGCUUCAAGUGCUCCCUUUCUCUCUCUAAAUCCCCUUAGCAUCCAGCACAUCUUAUGAUAUUUAUCAGAGACCACCCUCUAUUAUAAUUAUUCGUGCUCGUGUGGUACCUCCCUUUGUGCAUGAUAAAUUCCUUGAUGUCAGAACCACAUUCUAGGUCUGUCUGGCCCACAGCAACUUCUUUGGUGCUUUGCAUAAAGCAGGCCCUCAAAAUACAUUUGUUGAAUGAAUAACUGCAUAAAUAUAUAAUGACCACAGUAGGUGGCUAGUGAUUUGACUGUAAUAAUAUGCUGAAUUCUAGACAUAGAUUGAUGAUUCAAUCCACUGAAAGCAACAUAAAGGCAUUUCACUUCAAGCAUCAGUUCUUAUCUAUUACAAAACCUGUAACUUAGAUUGAAGGUUGAAAAGUAGAAAAGAAACAAAUGUAGCAUUGCAGCAAGGUCCUAAGACAACCUGUCUUUGGUAAGAUAGAGGGAAGAAGAUAAAGACUCUACUUAAAAGGAUAAACAGAAAAACUAUAAUUUUCAAAGAUAAAGGAGACACACACUUCGAUCGGUAAAGGUGUUCUAACAGGACAUUUGCAGAAAGAAUUCAGCUCUGACCAGCCAGAAACAGGUUCUUUACAAUUGCCUAGAUGGUGAGAUGGCUUACUCGAAAAGACGGUAACUUCUAAAAAAGGAAGUAGAGUGCCCAGAUUUUAUUUAGGCUUCCUAACUCUCAAGCUUAGAAUCCAGCUGUCUGGGCUGCAACGUAUUAUGUGGGGGAAGUUGCUCCUUUUACCUUUGGGAACACUGGAUUCGAGCUCCAGCUCCAUUACAUAAUAAGGAAGGAGCUACCACUCAUUGGGAAUUUACAAAGCACACUUUAAAACUACAGUAUCUUACUUAAUUUGGACAAUAACCCUGUGACUUUGUUGAGGAAAUAGGUCAAAGAUGCUAUUUUACAAGUGGCAAAGAUUCACUGGAUAGGUGGCAGUUUCAAGACUGGAAUCCUGCCAUCUCCAAACUCUGUACUCCUUAUUCAUUCUCUGUGGUAGCAACAGCUACCUGCCUACCCAAGAGCCCUUCCCCACUUCUAUAACAUCCCAACUCGAGGUAUUCAGCCUCUAGGAUGAGUUCAAUGAUUCUCACCUUGUAGUGCUUGUCUAGCCACCCUUCCACCCUCUACCCGCUACCCCCUAAUGAGUGUGGACUGGACCUAGUGAUGCUUCUAAAUAAUAGACUAAGGCAAAAAUCAGGCAAUGUCACUUCCAAAAUUAGGUUAAAAAAAAAAAGACUGGAACUUCCCUUUGGGGGCUACCCUCUCUCCACCCUUGUUCCCUCUGAGGGAAGCCAAACACCACGUUGUGACCUAACCUACGGAAGGGCCCUCGCAGCAAGAAACAAAGCAGCUCUGACCAAUAGGCAGUGAGGAACUGGGGCCAUCAGUCUGACAACUCAUUAGAGAUUGAAUCCUGCCAACAAUCACAUGAGUGAGCUUAGAGGUAGAUUCUCCCCCAGUCAAGUCUUCAUAUGAAACCACAGCCCCAGACAAUGCUUUAUGAGAGACUGAGACAGAGGCACCCAGCUAAGCCUCUGCCCUGACCCACCAGCAACUGUGAGAUAACAAUAUUCGAGAUUUUUAAUCUCUAAGGUAGGAAAACUUGUUUUGCAAUGACAGAUGACUAAAACCAUUGAAUGGAACUACUGGAAAAGCUACUAUUUUCUUGAUAAAAAGGGAUAAACUCAGCUAUCAGGGGCACUUCACCCUCCCGCUUCUUUCUUCCUGGAACAUAGAUGGGAUGGAUGCCCGAAGUUGGAGCCUUCAUCUUGUAACCUCGAGCACAAAACCUACACACUAAGAAAGGUCGAGGAGAAGAAGACGAGAAAAGGCUGGGCCCCUUAAGACAUCAUGAAGCUGCCAUCCCAACACUGGAAUGACUUUCCUCUUGACAUUCUGUUGCAAAAGAAAAAAGAAACCUUCUUUGAGUCUUGUUAUUUACAGUCAAAAGCAAUUCUAACUAAUUUAAUCAUUCUUCAGCUUUGGCUGGAUGUUCCAUUUUCUCUGUAAAAUUGAAGGUGAAUAACAACAGCCUCCCUUUCUACCCAAACAGGUGUGUUGAAGUGCUUUGUUCUCAUAAAAUGUAAAAUAAAAACCAAGCAUCACUGUUAUUCUUAUUUUAAGAAAUUAAAAUAUUAUUAACACUUAAUAUCAAGACCAGGAAUAUUACUGAUGAUAAAGAGAUACAUUAAAAUAAUUAACUAGCAAUAUUUUUAGUUUACUGAUAAAUUUUCAAAAAUUAAGAUACAUGUGGGACAAUUAUUUUCAUAAUCACAUUAUAAAAAUGUAUUUAAUACUAACAAUAAAACCAAUAUGAAAUGUUAAGGCUCUCUCAUAUGGAUUUGACAAAGUUGUUUCUAUGUUUUCAAAAUAAUUCACCAAAAAAAUGAGAAUGAUAAGCCCAAUAACUAGCAAAUUAAAUUCGAUACCUACAUGUCAUCACCCAGCAUCAUCACCGUAACCAACGCAUAUGCUGCAUGAAGAAAGUAAACAGCACUGCCCUAGGCAGUUGCAACUGCAGCUGAGCAGGACCCUGUGGCCUUCCCAGAGGGAACCCCCACUCACGUCCUCCACCUGCCUUUUUAUUUAUAGGAAAACUUUAAUCAAAGAACCAAUUUCAUCAGGGAAGUGAAAAAAUACAAAGAAAAAAGAAGAUGGUAAUAAAUUCAGCCAUUCAGCAAAGGGCCUUCGGUUCUUCAAAGACUAUAGCCAAUAUUCUGCGCCAUGCCCUUGGAGCUGUUUUGCAGGUGCUGAAGCCCCUACCAGCUGGAAAAAAGUCAACUGCAUGCUGCCCACAAGCAUGUAGGCUGCAGACCAGUUGGAACCAGAAGGUUGAUGAUGCUGACUUCCAACAACCUCACCACCCACCAAUCAGGAAAAUGUCCAUAAGCCGAUCACUACCUGCUCCUCAUUACUCCAUCUAAGGGGGCGGGGGCAGAGUCCUUGAGGCACCAGCCUGUUGUAUUCCCUUCUUUUCCUGGCAAUUAAAGCUACAUUUUCUGUUGCGUCCAACUCUGUCAAUGCGUUUCUAUUUGGCCUCGGUGUACAGAGGCAGCCAAUAUUUUGGCCACACUAUCUAGGUUAUACUUAAUGGUGUAACCUGGGAAGUACCCUGGUGUCUUUGUUUUUGCACAACGGGCUGUCUACUUUCAAAUCAAACUCCAAGCAGGAAGCACCUCUUCCCAUCAAGGGAAAUUUAAGACCCGGCUCCUAUCUUUGCGGCACACGGAAGACAUCGAUUACAGCAAAGAAAACACAGAUGGGGAUGUUCAGGCUGGAGAUACAGCAUUGCAUGAACACAGCCAGCAAUUUGCAGAACAAACUCACUCGAAGCAAAGCCACACUUAGAAAUCUACAGAUCAAUCAAGACUAUACUUAAAGAUUAUAUUGCAAGAGCAUAAGCAGAGAGGAAGAAAACAGUUAUAAUGAGCCUCCAGCAAAAAAGCAGACAUCUCAGCAAAUGCUAAAGCACAGGGAAGCUCUAGCCUGGACCCAAAUCAUUUCCGUGACCCCACUCAUUAAAGACUCUCACCAGGGCUCCUAACAAAUGAGAAACCUGGGAUUAAUAUCAAAAAUCAUUAGGUGGCAUUUAAAAUUUAUCAUACGUAAGAAAAGUAG